rnacentral:rRNA from 1 species
CAGGUAGUAACAGAGGGCUUGAUCCUGGCUCAGAUUGAACGCUGGCGGAUGCUUUACAUGCAAGUCGAACGGCAUGACUUCGGUCUGGUGGCGAGUGGCGAACGGGUGAGUAAUGUAUCGGAACGUGCCUAGUAAAGGGGGAUAACUACGCGAAAGUGGGAAGCAAUACCGUAUACGCCUCUGGGGGAAAGCGGGGGACCUUCGGGCCUGCACUAUUAGAGCGGCCGAUAUCGGAUUAGCUAGUUGGUGGGUAACGGCUUCACUGGGCGACGAUCCGUAGCUGGUUUGAGACACCAGCCACACUGGGACUGAGACACGGCCUGAUCUUGCAUGGCAGCAGGGAAUUUUGGACAGUUGGGAAACCUGAUCCAGCCAUCCUUGCGAUGAAGGCCUUCGGGUUGUAAAGCACUUUUGGUAGGAAAGAAACGGCAAUGGGAUAAUACCCCGUGCAACUGACGGUACCUGCAGAAUAAAGUGAACUGGGCGAACGCCGUGCCAGCAGCCGCGGUAAUACGUAGGGUGCAAGCGUUAAUGGAAUUACUGGCGAAGCGGCGUGGCAGGCGGUUCGAAAGAAAGAUGUGAAAUCCCAGAGCUUAACUUUGAACUGUAUUUAACUACCGAGCUAGAGUGUGUCAGAGAGGUGGAAUUCCGCGUGUAGCAGUGAAAUGUAGAUAUGCGAGGAACACCGAUGGCGAAGGCAGCCUCCUGGGAUAACACUGACGCUCAUGCACGAAAGCGUGGGGAGCAAAUGAGAUUAGAUACCUGGUAGUCCACGCCCUAAACGAUGUCAACUAGCUGUUGGGGCCUUCGGGUUCUGGUGGCGCAGCUAAUGCGAAGUUGGGACCGGCCUUAUAUGGCCGCAAGAUUAAAACUCAAAGGAAUUGACGGGGACCCGCACAAGCGGUGGAUGAUGUGGAUUAAUUCGAUGCAACGUUAAAACCCAUCACCUUGACAUGUCUGAAUCCCGAAGAGAUUUGGGAGUGCUCGCAAGAGAACCGAACACAGGUGCUGCAUGGCUGUCGCCAGCUCGUGUCGUGAGAUGUUGUCAAGUCCUCGCAACGAGCGCAACCCUUGUCAUUAGUUGCUACGAAAGGGCACCUUAAUGAGACUGCCGGUGACAAACUGAGGGAAGGUGGGGAUGACGUCAAGUCCUCAUGGCCUCUGGCGGGUAGGGCUUCACACGUCAUACAAUGGUCGGGACAGAGGUCGCUAACCCGCGAGGGGGAGCCAAUCCCAGAAACCCGAUCGUAGUCCGGAUCGCGUCUGCAACUCGACUGGGUGUAAGCCGGAAUCGCUAGUAAUCGCGGAUCAGCAUGUCGCGGUGAAUACGUUCCCGGGUCUUGUACACACCGCCCGUCACACCAUGGGAGUGGGUUUUACCAGAAGUAGUUAGCCUAACCGUACAGAGGGCGAUUACCACGGUAGGAUUCAUAUCACUGGGGUGAAGUCGUAACAAGGUAA